GAUAAACGUUGGCGGCGUGCUUAACACAUGCAAGUCGAGCGAGAAAGGUCUUCGGACUGAGUACAGCGGCAAACGGGUGAGUAACACGUGGGAAUCUACCUUUUAGUGGAGAAUACCCUCGAGAAAUCGAGGUUAAUACUGCAUACGUCUCGAAAGAGAGAAAGAUGGCCUCUUUGCUGUCGCUAAAAGAUGAGCCUGCGGACUAUUAGCUAGUUGGUAGGGUAAAAGCCUACCAAGGCGAUGAUGGUUAGCCGACCUGAGAGGGUGUACGGCCACACUGGAACUUAGACACGGUCCAGACUCCUACGGGAGGCAGCAGUGAGGAAUAUUGCGCAAUGGGCGAAAGCCUGACGCAGCGACGCCGCGUGGAGGAUGAAGGUCUUAGGAUUGUAAACUUCUGUUAAGCGGGAAGAAAGACGAAGGGUUAAUACCCCUUUAUGAUGACGGUACCGCUAGAGAAAGCACCGGCUAACUUCGUG
rnacentral:rRNA from 1 species